UAACAUCUAAAAAAGAGGAAUAUCGAGCUUGAGGAGGUUGAGAAAAAUGAAUGCCUUUGAGGAGUCAACAUUAGGGAUGUGCAUGGGCAAAGAAAUUCGGAUCAAUUCGGCACUUCCGAAAUUCAGGACUUAAGCAAAUACUUGAAAAGGAGAGAAAUCUCAAUGUAUCCAUCCUGGUAAAAUAUUUUAUAACUAUUUCAGGACUUCGGCAAUUCAGCACUUCGGUUCGGCACUUUCGAAAUUUGGGACUUGGGCACUUCGGUUCCGUUUGGCACUUCCGAAAUUCAGGACUUUGGGAAUUCAGCACUUCGGGACUUCAGCACAUGGGAAUUCGGGACUUCAGCAAUUCCCUAACCCUAACCCUACCCCUAUUCCGUCCCCUAACCCUACCCCUAACCCUACCUCUAACCCUAGCCAUACUCCAAUUCUAGCCCUAACAAAGACCAGAGUUAGAUACUGCAAGACUGCCUUCAGAGGAGCUGAUACGGGAUCCAACGAUCGUCCCACACACCAAUCUGCCCACUUUCUCCAAGCCGAAUCGUAGGAGCGCCUAGUUAAUGGUGCCCAUGCCUCGACAGUCCAGGGUCCACGGAAAUGAGCCAUGCUGCCAGGUGAAGCAGACCCUGGUCGAUCAAUUUGUGACUCACCCCUUCUGGAUUGGUCAGAAGGAAAGGCAUGUUCGGUAUUAUGCGAGGAAAGUCUAUCGACAUUUCCAAUAGAUGUGGGAACCAAGGCUGAGAUUUCCAUAACGGGGUUAUCAAUACCAG